CAUUGAAUGGACGCAAUAGUAACUAGGAUGGUUGCUACUAAGGAAAGACAAUGGACACCUCUGGAUGAGGAAUGGACUGAACAUCAGGAUGAUGUAAAGGACACCACUAAAGGAUUUAGUGAAGCGUACUAACGAGGAUUGUUAGUAGACCAGGAUAAGGUCAUAUGGACACCGCUAGGAUGGCGAGAAAAGGAAUACGCUGAAGGAUAACAGCACACUAUCAAGGAUUUGAUGCAGGGAGCACACUUAGUAGCCGGAUUGCUGCAAGUAAGACUAUAACCCCGAAGAGCGUAAGCUCUCGGGGUUUUUCUUUA
rnacentral:other from 1 species